AGGAGCUUAGGCUCCCAA
rnacentral:snRNA from 1 species